GUUUGAUCCUGGCUCAGGACGAACGCUGGCGGCGUGCUUAACACAUGCAAGUCGAACGAGAAUCUACUGAAAGAGUUUUCGGACAAUGGAAGUAGAGGAAAGUGGCGGACGGGUGAGUAACGCGUGAGGAACCUGCCUUGAAGAGGGGGACAACAGUUGGAAACGACUGCUAAUACCGCAUGACGCAUAGAGGUCGCAUGAUCUUUAUGCCAAAGAUUUAUCGCUUCAAGAUGGCCUCGCGUCUGAUUAGCUAGUUGGCGGGGUAACGGCCCACCAAGGCGACGAUCAGUAGCCGGACUGAGAGGUUGAACGGCCACAUUGGGACUGAGAUACGGCCCAGACUCCUACGGGAGGCAGCAGUGGGGAAUAUUGGGCAAUGGGCGCAAGCCUGACCCAGCAACGCCGCGUGAAGGAAGAAGGCUUUCGGGUUGUAAACUUCUUUUAAGAGGGAAGAGCAGAAGACGGUACCUCUAGAAUAAGCCACGGCUAACUACGUGCCAGCAGCCGCGGUAAUACGUAGGUGGCAAGCGUUGUCCGGAUUUACUGGGUGUAAAGGGCGUGCAGCCGGGUCUGCAAGUCAGAUGUGAAAUCCAUGGGCUCAACCCAUGAACUGCAUUUGAAACUGUAGAUCUUGAGUGUCGGAGGGGCAAUCGGAAUUCCUAGUGUAGCGGUGAAAUGCGUAGAUAUUAGGAGGAACACCAGUGGCGAAGGCGGAUUGCUGGACGAUAACUGACGGUGAGGCGCGAAAGUGUGGGGAGCAAACAGGAUUAGAUACCCUGGUAGUCCACACUGUAAACGAUGAAUACUAGGUGUGCGGGGACUGACCCCCUGCGUGCCGCAGUAAACACAAUAAGUAUUCCACCUGGGGAGUACGAUCGCAAGGUUGAAACUCAAAGGAAUUGACGGGGGCCCGCACAAGCGGUGGAUUAUGUGGUUUAAUUCGAAGCAACGCGAAGAACCUUACCAGGGUUUGACAUCCUGCUAACGAAGUAGAGAUACAUUAGGUGCCCUUCGGGGAAAGCAGAGACAGGUGGUGCAUGGUUGUCGUCAGCUCGUGUCGUGAGAUGUUGGGUUAAGU
rnacentral:rRNA from 1 species